CUUAUGCUUCCUUUUAAUCCUUUUACCAGAGGUAUAGUUUACUUUUCUUAUACACCUUGCACAUAAACUUUUUCUCCAAUAGUUUUACAUUCAGGAGGCCUAAUUACUUUUAAAUUGUACAACAUUUCUUGCAUAAAUUCUUUUUUUAUAACUUUUUUUCAUGACUUUUGCAGACAAUUCUUCGACAUGCCUCAACUUUCUGACUUAUUACAAACAUUUCUUUCUUUAAACAACCAGUUAAUUUAUUUUAGGACAAGAAUUUACCAUAUAACAUUUUUUUUUUUAGAUAAAUUCUGCCCCUUCUUUUUUCCCCCCUUUUUUUUGAAGACGAUAACCAUUCUUUUCCAAAGCAAGCUUCCUUUAUAUCUGUGGACUAGACUGUCUAAGGACACAAGAUUAGAAGUUAGUAUAAUACAUGUUACACUGUUUACAUUUAGCAAACUUUACUUUUGUUGAAAACCUUGUAAGUUUGGGAUUUCAAUUAUUCUUUGCUAUUAAUAAGACCUUGUUUAGUCCAAAUUAACUUAUAAUUGGUAUAGAUGGCUUUUUUCUUUUUUUUUCCUUCAAUUACCUGGGAGGAACCAUCUAUUGUCCUAUCCUACAGGGAGUUCCUACUAGGUCUGGUCAACCUUGGUAUGGUAAUUAAGAUUUAGAUCCCGUUAGGAAACCUGCUGGGUUAAGGGAAUUUUCAGUGGUUAAUGUCUCUGUCUCUUUCCUUUCUCUCUCUCUGCUGGUCUUUCCUUGCCUCUGCCAGCUGCUUAUGCUGCUGUUCUCUCAACCACUGUGGGGGGCAUCUAAAACCAGCUGUAACCAAGUGUCUAUGUACAGGAACUGGUCUGGGUGCCCUGGCUUACCUUGUGCCAUACCUUUGAAACAAAGGACCUGUCCAGGCUUCCUUCUGAUGGCCAACCCACCUCUAAUGCUGGCCAGUCUAUUUCACACAAAGUUCUAAGUUUUCCUGGUGUCAUAGUAACACUGUAAUCUCCCUUAAAUCCUUUCUUGAAAUUGUUCAGCAUAGUUCCUAGUGGGGUGGGCUUAGUUUGUGCCUGAUCCAUGCUUCCUCGAGACAAAACACCACACUCACACCACUCGCACCCCACAAAACAAAGAACAAGUAAAAAGGGCACACACACACUUUUACAGUUUACACCAAACCAGAAUCAAAACCAAAAUCAGAGUAUCAGGAAAUCCAAGCCAGGCCAAAACCAAAACCAAAGUAUCAAGUAAUCCAAGUCAAGUAAAAAACAAAAACCAAAGUGCUGGUAGAGGCACGCCAUGGGUGAUCAGGCCACGCUUCCACUCAAAUGGAGUGCACAAGUUCCAAAGACCAGUCUUAGCAAGUUUCAGAUGUCCAGACUCCAAGUGCCAGUUCCUUCCCGGUGUUCAUCCACUGUGUUGAUCCUCUGCAGGGGCCUGCCACACGCUGCUCUGGCGAGGCAUCCCACUGGGGCAAUUGCCUACCCGGGAGUGCUGUUUGGAUCUGCGUCACUCAGGCUGGUCGGAGUACCCCGUAGGGAUGCUCCACAAGACAGGCCUAAGUCACCUAAGGGGCUGCCUCGACCGUCUGCCAAUCACCUUGCUUCCCCAUCAGGGAACCAAGAAAUGUAGCAGGACAAGCCACAGACAAAACUCCUCAGACACCAGGUUAAAGAAGGAAAGAGCUUUAUUCAGCCAGGAACUUCAGCAGGCUUGCUUCUCAAAAGUUGAACUUCCUGAGAGAGCAAUUCCUGUCCCUUCUAAGGGCUUACACAUCUAAGGGGGUCUGCAUGAGAGGGUUGUGAUCAAUCAAGCAAGCAGUGGGUACGUGACUGGGGGUGCAGCACCGAUAAUCAGAAUGGAACAGGACAGGGAUUUUCACAAUGCUUUUCCAUACAAUGUCUGGAAUCUGUAGAUAAGAUAACCGGUUAAGUCAGGGGUCGAUCUUUAACUACCAGGCCUAGGGCACGGCACCGGGCUGUCUGCCUGUGGAUUUCAUUUCUGCCUUUUAGUUUUUACUUCUUUCUUUGGAGGCAGAAAUUGGGCAUAAAACAAUAUGAGGGAUGGUCUCCUCCCUUACUGUCUUUCAGGAGAUCCAAGAACUCUCUUGGGGUCUGGAUUGGGACCUCUUUCAGUAACAGUAUUCUAGGAUUGAUUCUGGAACUUAAAAAGGAUGUUAGGGGAAAAGCUGAUCCAUGGUUUAGUGUCAGGCCUCUGAGCCCAAGCCAUCAUAUCCCCUGUGACCUGCAUGUAUGCAUCCAGGUGGCCUGAAGUAACUGAAGAAUCACAAAAGAAGUGAAAAUGGCCUGUUCCUGCCUUAACUGAUGACAUUACCUUGUGAAAUUCCUUCUCCUAGCUCAUCCUGGCUCAAAAGCUCCCCCACUGAGCACCUUGUGACCCCCGCCCCUGCCUACCAGAGAACAACCUCCUUUGACUGUAAUUUCCCACUACCUACCCAAAUCCUAUAAAACGGCCCCACCCCUAUCUCCCUUUGCUGACUCUCCUUUCGGACUCAGCCCACCUGCACCCAGGUGAAAUAAGCAGCCUUGUUGCUCACACAAAACCUGUUUGGUGGUCUCUUCACAGCAACGCGAAUGAAAUUUGGUGCCAUCACUCGGAUCAGGGGACCUCCCUUGGGAGAUCAAUCCCCUGUCCUCCUGCUCUUUGCUCCAUGAGAAAGAUCCACCUACGAUCUCUGCUCCUCAGACCAACCAGCCCAAGGAACAUCUCACCAAUUUUAAAUCGGAUCUUCUCAGCUUAGCGGCUGAAGACUGAUGCUGCCAGAUGACUUUGGAAGCCCCCUGGACCAUCACAGAUGCCCAGCUUUGGAUAACUCUUACAGUGGAGGACAGGAAUAUCAGGUCUCUGAGCCCAAGCUAAGCCAUCAUAUCCCCUGUGACCUGCAUGUAUGCAUCCAGAUGGCCUGAAGUAACUGAAGAAUCACAAAAGAAGUGAAAAUGGCGCGUGCCUGCCUUAACUGAUGACAUUACCUUGUGAAAUUCCUUCUCCUGGCUCAUCCUGGCUCAAAAGCUCCCCCACUGAGCACCUUGUGACCCCCACUCCUGCCUAACAGAGAACAAUCCCCUUUGACUGUAAUUUCCCACUACCUACCCAAAUCCUAUAAAACGGCCCCACCCCUAUCUCCAUUCACUGACUCUUUUUGGACUCAGCCCACCUGCACCCAGGUGAAAUAAACAGCCUUGUUGCUCACACAGAACCUGUUUGGUGGUCUCUUCACACGGCGAGUGAAAUUUAG
rnacentral:lncRNA from 1 species